GACACACACCUCACAGCCCUGAGGACCAGAGACAUCACAUCAGCUGGGCUACACACACCUCACAGCCCUGAGGACCAGAGACUCCACAUCACCACAGGACACACACCUCACAGCCCUGAGGACCAGAGACUCCACAUCAGCUUAGCCGCUGAACCACAUCCCAGGACACUAAAACACACAUCAGCACAGGGAUGAAUGGGAGCAGAGAGGUCUUUGGGGUCACGGCAUCCUAAUGAAGCUACCGCUCAUGAAGAAGGACAUGACUGCUAGGCCUAGUGUUUUCACCCACCAUCUCAAAUAAGAACACAUUAAAGGGGAGGACAUGACUGCUAGGCCUAGUUGUUUUCACCCACCAUCUCAAAUAAGAACACAUUAAAGGGAAGUCUCAGUUCUGUCUCGCUGCUGCUGUGUGUGAUGUACAACUAUCAGACGUGAAGUGCUCAAGCCAGAAAUGUCAAAUCUGAUGAGUUCAUUUUUUUGUAUUCUGAGAUAAUAUGGUGUUU
ensembl:lncRNA